rnacentral:rRNA from 1 species
CGGAGGAUCCAAGCGUUAUCCGGAAUCAUUGGGUUUAAAGGGUCCGUAGGCGGUCUAAUAAGUCAGUGGUGAAAGCCCAUCGCUCAACGAUGGAACGGCCAUUGAUACUGUUAGACUUGAAUUAUUGGGAAGUAACUAGAAUAUGUAGUGUAGCGGUGAAAUGCUUAGAUAUUACAUGGAAUACCAAUUGCGAAGGCAGGUUACUAUCAAUAUAUUGACGCUGAUGGACGAAAGCGUGGGGAGCGAACAGGAUUAGAUACCCUGGUAGUCCACGCCGUAAACGAUGGAUACUAGCUGUUCGGAGCAAUCUGAGUGGCUAAGCGAAAGUGAUAAGUAUCCCACCUGGGGAGUACGUUCGCAAGAAUG